rnacentral:pre_miRNA from 1 species
AUAACAACAUUCGAACUGUCGGUCUACCGAGCGAUAUCACCCGCUCGGUGGAAGAUCUUCCCAUCGUCGUUUACC